GGGCGAGAGAGGCUGAGAGCGAGCUGGGUCGUUCCCCUCGAGCCCACUCUCCCUUCCUCCCCGCUGCCGCCAGCCAUCCUCCCCGUCCCGCGCCUUCUCCUCCCCAUCGCCCCUCCCUGCCGCAGAAGCAGCAGUCCCCGCCCGUCGCCCAAGAGUCGAAGCCCGCCACCAAGCAGCCGCCCCCUCUCCUCUUCCUCCCACCUCAUCCCUCUCUCCCCAUCCAAACCCUAGCCCCGCACCGGCCUUCCUGCCCCGCCGCCGUCAUCUCCUUCGCCCGGUCGGCCGCCCCGCACCGCACGAGGUGGGAUGCGAGGAGGCAGGCGAGUCGGUGCAGGGGAGCAGGCAGGAGAGAGCAGCGGAGACGCGCGGAAGAGCAGGAUAGCUACACGACCUAAGGCGGAACUGCGCGGUUGUGCCGGGAGCGCGGGCAGAUAACUGGAGACGACGAGGAGGGCUUCUACAGCGUACUUCAGCUCCAGCGAGGAUCCUAUCCCCACCGCGCAGCUCUGUAGCUCGCUCAGGCACCCGAACACCGACGCCAUGGAGGACGCUGCUCCACCCCUGCUCCGGUUCGUGCCCCCGAUGCCAUGGAGGACGCCCCUCCACCCCUGCUCUAGCCUGAAGGUACUCCACAACUGCUCCAUCUCAGUUUUGGUCAAAACUGAAUGUUGAAUGGUCCUGCUGCAUUAAGCUGCUGUUUCACAAUUUAAAACUGAGUUUUUAAAACUCUGUUCUGUACUAUGGUCUCUCUGUUUUGUAAAUCUGUUGUAAUCAUUUAUGUUGUGGAGUAAGUUUUAAACAAAUUCAGUAGAGUUCCGAACUAUUAAGUUCUGACCAUUGCAUCUGUAAGUUUUAAACAAAUUCAGUAGUUUUAAACAAAUUACUAGAUCAUUGAGUUCUGAACCAUUGCAAAUUCUUAAUUUUUUGAUCGACUCCUCCUCCUCCUCCUCUUCCAAGUCUAGCCCAUCGACGAUGACGGCUCUGAAAUGAACAUGUAUGCACAAGUGCCCCUCCUCCUCCAAGUCUGUAGUUUGAUACAAUACAAGUCUGCAAGUGCUCUGCAAUUCUGUUUUUAUACCUUGUAUGGUGCAAUACAGUGAGCAACCUUUAUAUACUCUUAAGUAUAUGUAUUGUGAUUUUUCAUUGUUUGUUCAGUCAUGCACGUGGCUCUAAAUUAGGUGAUACGUUGUAAUAUGGCUGCACGUUGUAAUCUUGACAGGUUUGACUGUUUAAGUAAGCAAGUCCUUGCUAUAAAGUUGUUGGAUGUAUAUUCUUUUAUAUGCAAAAUGUGAAUUCAGCACAGCGAAUCUUAUGAUUUGUACUUCUGAUUGAGGAAGCAAAAAUGUCAGUGCUAACCAAUUAUUUUCCAUGUAGUGUUAUCUGUGAAUGGAGAAACAAAAACUGUAAUGCAGGAGAUAACUCAUGGUGCCUGCAACUAUCUCCUAAAACCCGUUCGCAUCGAGGAGCUUAGGAAUAUCUGGCAGCAUGUUGUUUGAUCCGUUGAACUACAUAUAAAAUUCAUCUAUGCUGUCAACCAUCUUGGAAUUGACAGCAAGAACUUACCUUCCUUCUCUGUAGCUACUUUUUUCUGGAGUAACUUUUUUUCUCACUAUUCUUUCAUGUUUAUGCAGAAGGUGUGCCGAAAAGGAUAC